rnacentral:pre_miRNA from 1 species
GCGAAAGGGUUGAUGGGAAUGUUGUUUGGCUCGAGGUCAUUUAGGGUUCGUCUAAUAUCUACAUGUGCAUACAUACAUAGCCCUAUAUGAUGUCGGACCAGGCUUCAUUCCCAUCAACCAAACACU